rnacentral:rRNA from 1 species
AGAUGGCGACCGGCGCACGGGUGAGUAACACGUAUCCAACCUGCCGAUAACUUGGGGAUAGCCUUUCGAAAGAAAGAUUAAUACCCGAUGGUAUAAUCAGACCGCAUGGUUUGAUUAUUAAAGAAUUUCGGUUAUCGAUGGGGAUGCGUUCCAUUAGGCAGUUGGUGAGGUAACGGCUCACCAAACCUUCGAUGGAUAGGGGUUCUGAGAGGAAGGUCCCCCACAUUGGAACUGAGACACGGUCCAA